ACAAGUAACCUAUUACAGGUUAAGGCUUCAUUUUUUAUGAGUUAUUUGAUUGGAGAUGGAGAAGUGAUUGAUUAGGGAAAAAAAAAGAGAAACAAUAAGUUUCUAAUUGUAUAUAGUUAGUUAUUAGUACAUGUUCAAUCUCAUUUACAUCAGUCUCUCUCCUACGGUUCAACAUGCUACAAUAGGAAUAUGAAAAUGGGGAAAAAAAACUCACUUUUAUUGAGGUCUGUGAAGAGAUGCAUAGGAAGAAACAAAAGGACGUACAAGAGGACAUUGGGUUGAAACGCAUGCUAAGGAUGCAUAUUAAGAAUUUCAAAAAAGUAUAGAAGAGUGGCGUCAAACACAACCUACUUCAGAGGAUGGUACCAUGGUCCAACCAUCACCUACAAAAAUGACUAAUAUGUGGACAGUUGUAGUAGGUGGUCCAAAGAAAGGUAGAACCUACGGGACAGGGAUUCUCUAAUCCUCGAGUAGUCCUUCGCUGUUUCCCAGUUCCUCUUCUAUUUUGCAAACUGGAGAAGAAAUGGAAGCGAUGAAAAAGCAAAUUGUGAAAUUGACGCAGAAAUGUGCAGCUAACGAUGCUAAGUUUGCUAAAUUUGAGGAGUUGAUGAAGAAGCAUAUGCCUCAAGCAUUUCAUGAUGAGGAAAAUAGUGAAUCUGAUGAUAAUUAGAUUGUAGUUAUUGUUCUUGUUUUUGGUUGUGACAUUUAGAUGUUUAAACUAUUUGAUUUGAUGUUUGUUUUGGAUGU